CUACAGAAACUGUUCCCAACAUCCUUAGCGAGGGUUUUGCACCAGGUCAAAGGGGAACAGGAAUUCGUGUGCUGCAACAUAGGAAAUACACUUAAUCAUAGCUGCCAUCUAACAAGAUCAUCAUCUAGCAAGAGUGUCAACUGUUUACGAUUACUUAGUUUUGUGCAACAUCUGGGCCAACAGUGGAUAUUUAAUAAUGAAGAACAUGCAGUUUGUAUUGCACUAACUCAGUUGAAGAGGGUAACUGUAUUUUCACUCAGGCCUUACUCAGGUAAAUUUAUAUGGAUUAAAAGCCAGGUAAGAAUUUCAAAGCUUGAAAGAGUAAU
rnacentral:lncRNA from 1 species